rnacentral:sRNA from 1 species
GGCAAUUAGGGACAUGAAGCCUGAUAGGC